rnacentral:rRNA from 1 species
UACAGAGGUCUCAAGCGUUGUUCGGAUUCAUUGGGCGUAAAGGGUGCGUAGGUGGCGCGCUAAGUCAGGUGUGAAAUUUCGGAGCUUAACUCCGAAACUGCAUUUGAUACUGGCGUGCUUGAGGACUGGAGAGGAGAUUGGAAUUCAUGGUGUAGCAGUGAAAUGCGUAGAGAUCAUGAGGAAGACCAGUGGCGAAGGCGGGUCUCUGGACAGUUCCUGACACUGAGGCACGAAGGCCAGGGGAGCAAACGGG